rnacentral:rRNA from 1 species
UCGAACGAGAGUUUUUAACUCAAGUGGCGGACGGGUGAGUAACACGUGAGAAUCUACCCUUAGGAGGGGGACAACAGUUGGAAACGACUGCUAAUACCCCAUAUGCUUUCGAGUAAAAUGAUUUUUCGCCUAAGGAAGAGCUCGCGGCUGAUUAGCUAGUUGGUAAGGUAAAGGCUUACCAAGGCGACGAUCAGUAUCUGGUUUGAGAGGACGAUCAGACACACUGGAACUGAGACACGGUCCAGACUCC